GGUUCGUUGAGUCACAUGUUAGUGCAAAAUGCAAUUAAUGUAUUGACGUUGACUCAAUGAAAUUUAAACACCCAUUUAUUGAAUAGUUAACAGACUGAAAUCUGUUUUGGCAAUAUGCGUCAUCGUUAUCUUACAUAUUUAUUUAGUCUUCUCAUAAGAUUGCUUCGAAUAAAAUUAAGUAUUUAAAUGGUUCAAAUUUGAAAUACAAAUUU
rnacentral:lncRNA from 1 species